GGAACUGUGGCUGAGUGGUAAAGCACUUGGCUUCCAAACAAUGGGUCCUAGGUUCGAAUCCUGCAAUUUUU
rnacentral:tRNA from 1 species